UACGUAGGGGGGCUAGCGUUGUCCGGAAUCAUUGGGCGUAAAGCGCGUGUAGGCGGCCCGGUAAGUCCGCUGUGAAAGUCGGGGGGCUCAACCCUCGGAUGCCGGUGGAGUACUGUCGGGCUCGAGUACGGAAGAGGCGGGUGGAAUUCCUGGUGUAGCGGUGAAAUGCGCAGAUAUCAGGAGGAACACCAAUUGCGAAAGCAGCUCGCUGGGACGUUACUGACGCUGAGACGCGAAAGCGUGGGGAGCGAACAGG
rnacentral:rRNA from 1 species